AAGACCUUGCGCUUUUGGAGCGGCCGAUGCCUGAUUAGCUUGUUGGUAAGGUAAAAGCUUACCAAGGCUUCGAUCAGUAGCUGGUCUGAGAGGACGGCCAGCCACACUGGGACUGAGACACGGCCCAGACUCCUACGGGAGGCAGCAGUGGGGAAUUUUGGACAAUGGGGGCAACCCUGAUCCAGCCAUGCCGCGUGAGUGAAGAAGGCCUUCGGGUUGUAAAGCUCUUUCAGCCGGAACGAAACGGUUACGGUUAAUACCCGUGACUGCUGACGGUACCGGAAGAAGAAGCACCGGCUAACUACGUGCCAGCAGCCGCGGUAAUACGUAGGGUGCGAGCGUUAAUCGGAAUUACUGGGCGUAAAGCGUGCGCAGGUGGUUUUGUAAGUCAGAUGUGAAAGCCCCGGGCUCAACCUGGGAACU
rnacentral:rRNA from 1 species